AUGACGCUGGCGCAGGCUUACACAUGCAGUCGAACGGUAACAUAAAGGAGUUUGCUUCUUUGAUGACGAGUGGCGGACGGGUGAGUAAUGCUUGGGAAUCUAGCUUAUGGAGGGGGAUAACUACGGGAAACUGUAGCUAAUACCGCGUAGUAUCGGGAGAUGAAAGUGUGGGACCUUCGGGCCACAUGCCAUAGGAUGAGCCCAAGUGGGAUUAGGUAGUUGGUGAGGUAAAGGCUCACCAAGCCGACGAUCUCUAGCUGGUCUGAGAGGAUGACCAGCCACACUGGGACUGAGACACGGCCCAGACUCCUACGGGAGGCAGCAGUGGGGAAUAUUGCGCAAUGGGGGCAACCCUGACGCAGCCAUGCCGCGUGAAUGAAGAAGGCCUUCGGGUUGUAAAGUUCUUUCGGUAGUCGAGGAAGGCAUUUAGUUUAAUAGACUAGGUGAUUGACGUUAACUAC
rnacentral:rRNA from 1 species